GCCGGCUUAGCUCAGUGGUUUAGAGUGCUCCUUUCCGGUACGCUUGACCUUUCAUUAGGCGAGCGAUGGAUGGGAGAAGUCGUCAGUUCGAACCUGGCAGUUGGCU